rnacentral:rRNA from 1 species
UACGUAGGGGCAAGCGUUGUCCGGAAUUAUUGGGCGUAAAGAGCGCGUAGGCGGUCCGAUAAGUCGGCUGUGAAAGUCAGGGCUCAACCCUUGAAAGCCGGCCGAUACUGUCGGACUAGAGUCCGGAAGAGGCAAGUGGAAUUCCCGGUGAGCGGUGAAAUGCGCAGAGUAUCGGGAGGAACACCAAUGGCGAAGGCAGCUUGCUGGGACGG